GACAUAGGUGGCGAACGUUAUCCGGAUUUAUUGGGCGUAAAGAAUGCGUAGAUGGUGGAAUAAGUUAUUGGUCGAGGUCAAGCUCAACUUGGCGGAAGCUGGUAAUACUGUUCUACUUGAGGACAGGAGAGGUUGGCGGAAUUCUGUGUGGAGCGGUGAAAUGCGUUGAUCUACAGAGGAACACCAAAAAGGGCGAAGGCAGCCAACUAUUCUGAUCCUGACAUUGAGGCAUGAAAGCGUGGGGAGCAAACCGG
rnacentral:rRNA from 1 species